rnacentral:rRNA from 1 species
ACGUAGGUGGCGAGCGUUGUCCGGAAUUACUGGGUGUAAAGGGUGCGUAGGCGGCUUCUAAAGUCAGAUGUGAAAUACCGCAGCUCAACUGCGGGGCUGCAUUUGAAACUUGGGAGCUUGAGUGAAGUAGAGGUAAGCGGAAUUCCUAGUGUAGCGGUGGAAUGCGUAGAUAUUAGGAGGAACACCAGUGGCGAAGGCGGCUUACUGGGCUUUAACUGACGCUGAGGCACGAAAGCGUGGGGAGCAAACAG